rnacentral:rRNA from 1 species
UACGUAGGGGGCAAGCGUUGUCCGGAUUUAUUGGGCGUAAAGAGCGUGUAGGCGGCUUGGUAGGUCUGCUGUGAAAACUCGGGGCUCAACCCCGAGACGUCGGUGGAAACCACCUGGCUAGAGUCCGGAAGAGGAGAGUGGAAUUCCUGGUGUAGCGGUGAAAUGCGCAGAUAUCAGGAAGAACACCAAUGGCGAAAGCAGCUCUCUGGGACGGUACUGACGCUGAGACGCGAAAGCGUGGGGAGCGAACAGG